rnacentral:rRNA from 1 species
GACAGAGGUGCCAAGCGUUAGGCGGAAUCACUGGGCUUAAAGCGUGUGUAGGCGGAUGCCUAAGUACCUUGUGAAAUCCCACGGCUCAACCGUGGAACUGCUUGGUAUACUGGGUGUCUUGAGCCAUCUAGGGGCUACCAGAACAAAUGGUGGAGCGGUGAAAUGCGUAGAUAUCAUUUGGAACGCCAAUGGUGAAAACAGGUAGCUGGGGAUGUGCUGACGCUGAGACACGAAAGCCAGGGGAGCAAACGGG